GUGAUUAUCUACGGUAGUCUGUACAUUUCCUCUCAGACUAUGUUGGGGGGGUGCAAGGAUAGAUGAUUCGUUUUAGGUGUUAAGCGUCAUCCAACAUGGGGCAUCGGUCAGAAUGCCAGGUAGAGGAAUGAUGAGGAGACGAUGGGCUUGGUUAUCGAAUUGUAUUCUUAGAGGUCAUUCAAACAGGUAGCAUUAAUAUUCACAUUCUCAGGAAAGCGAGAUGAGUUGACAUUUCUCACAGUCUGAGAGGGUAGAGGAAACAAGAAAUAGAAAUAAGGCACCAUAAAAUACAAAUAACAAUCUGUAAUUACGUUAACAGUUAAGUGCCUGUAAUGCACUACAAACAUAAGUCACUGGCGAUUUCUAGUAGUAAACACAGCCUAGUCACGGAGCAGACAUUAUACAGUCUCAUCUAGAGGUCAAAGGAGGUAACGCAAAUGUGACAUUCAUCUCCCGAGGACAGAAUUUCCCCGAAAUAUUCUCAAAUGGUAUCGAGGCAGGUAGUGCUAAGCGCUAAUAAUAGGCAACUUAGAAACAUAUGGAUUUACAGACAAGUAAACGAAACGGAGAUGUGAGGAAAUGCCACCACCAUUACUUAAGAACUAAAGGGAACUUCGCUUGAAGAAGCUGAGACUAUGCAGAUAACGGUGGCUGAUGAAGUGGCUGCUGAAGUCAUCAACAGUACCAUGAGCAUCUGUCUGGAGGGGUCUGAAGAGAAACAUCUGGUGAGCUCCAACCCUGACACAGGUAAAGUCAUCAGAGAGCUCCUGGACAUCCUAUUUGAUGAUGCCCUAUGGAAGACGAUCAGGUGCUGAAGAUGACAGUGAAGCCAAUGACGAGCAAACGCACCCUGACCUGGAGAAGUCAGAGCCCACCAAUAUCCAUCCUCUGGCAGGAGAUGAGUGGCUGAAGCUGAAGGACCAUGUAGCUGAGGAACAUCUGGACCUCACAGAGGCUUCAGACAGUGAUGACCAGCCUCUGGACAUAAAGAAAAGCCACCCUCCUGAGGAAGAAGACACCAACAAGAGAAAAACUAGGAGAGGAACAAGAGGAAAAGGGCGGAAAAUCGUCUAUAAUAAAGAAAAACAUCCAAAUGACAAACUAGAUGGACAGAGAGGUUCAAGAGGUUCUUCUGGACAGACAAACAACGUAAAGAACUGCGGUCAUGAAAACAGGGAGAUGGUCCGUCCCAAACGGGUGCAGUUAGAGUGA
ensembl:lncRNA